rnacentral:rRNA from 1 species
UUGGAGGGCAAGUCUGGUGCCAGCAGCCGCGGUAAUUCCAGCUCCAAUAGCGUAUAUUAAAGUUGUUGCAGGUAAAAAGCUCGUAGUUGAAUUUCGGGGUCAGUAGGUUGGUCAUGCCACAGGUAUGUACUGGUCUCACUGAUUCCUCCUUCCUGAUGAACUGUAAUGCCAUUAAUUUGGUGUUGCAGGGAAUCUGGACUGUUACUUUGAAAAAAUUAGAGUGUUUAAAGCAGGCUAACGCCUGAAUACAUUAGCAUGGAAUAAUGAAAUAGGACGUUCGAUCCUAUUUUGUUGGUUUCUAGGAUUGACGUAAUGAUUAAUAGGGAUAGUUGGGGGCAUUAGUAUUCAACUGUCAGAGGUGAAAUUCUUGGAUUUAUUGAAGACUAACUACUGCGAAAGCAUUUGCCAAGGAUGUUUUCAUUAAUCAAGAACGAAAGUUAGGGGAUCGAAGACGAUCAGAUACCGUCGUAGUCUUAACCAUAAACUAUGCCGACUAGGGAUCGGAUGAUGUUAAUUUUUUAAUGACUCAUUCGGCGCCUUACGGGAAAC